rnacentral:lncRNA from 1 species
AGUGACAAAGAGAAGGAAACCGUGGAAGAAAAAAGGGUGUCCGUUGUAGACCCAGAUGUAGAGAAUUUGGCAGACGAACUUGCAGAUUUGACAUUCGAGCAGAAAAGAUUGUCCUUUGAAAAAGGUGCAUCUCUGGAAAAGAAGAAAUCCGAGGAAAAACCUCUAGAUUACGUCCAAACAUCCUUCGAUAAAGGAGUGUCUCUAGAAAGAAAAAUCUCUGUAGAUAAACCGCCGGAAGUUUCAAAACCUACCUCAGAGCCCAGAAUAUCAGAAGAUAAAGUGGAACAAUCCGGUGGAAAAGUUUCCGACUCAAUCAAAACUGAGAGUGCACAAAUAAUCGAGGCAGAAAAGCAAAUGACGGAACGAGGAAAAUCCCAAGCUUCAACAGAAACUGAAGAGAAGCAAUUGAGCUUUCAAGAAAAGAGACUCUCCUUUGAGCGCGGGUUAUCACAGACUAGCAUCACACCAGUUUUAAAGGACAAGACGGAAAUUAGCGUAGAAACCAAAGAAACUGGACCAACAGCAGAGGAAAAAAGGAGAAAUUCAGUGCUUUUUGAAGGUGUGAGUCAAGGCCUGGAAAAGCUUGACACAACCCCAGACAAAUUCAGUCAACCUCCACAGGAUCUUUUAUCCCCCAAAGUUGUGAAGACACCACCACCAAGCCCAGCAGAGUUCAAGGACCCUGCGUGGAGUAACUCAUCAUCACAAUCAUCUCAAGAAGGAAAGUACUGGAUGUCGAUGGGGCAGCACAAGAGGCCGCUAAAAACAACGUAGCAGAUAGCCCAACAUCAGAUACAACAGGAAAAUCAGGUAAACAGUUAUUUUUGUUUUCUUCAAUUAUUUAAUAUUAGACUUAUUUGUUAUGGCUUUGGAUCCCUAGGAAAUUCUUAAUUUUUUUUCUCGGAUCCUUUGGCCCUCUCAUUCAUGUCCCACCAUAAAAAAAAAGAAAAUAUUAAAUAUAUCACCUUUAUUUAUGAGUUCCCAUACAUUUUCACAAACUCGGGACAUUUGUCAUUCGGCUUUUUACAAAUUUCACUAUCACAAAAUAGUACUCAUCACUCAUUACCCAUAGAUUCAUCAAACAUUAGAAUCUAUUUAUAAGACUCUUCUUAUUUGAGUCUUUAACUCAUUUGUGUAUGAGUUCUCAGUGUCUGUCACUUAACUCUCAUGACUGCUAAUCUAUUGGUCGCCUUGUGAACUGUUACAUGUGCUUCUGAAACACUGACGAUUUUUAGUCAUUUUACAAUUCGUGACCUUAACUGUAUAAGGUUCUUCCUCUAUUUGCACUAUUUUCCUUCUCUUUCUCCAGUAUCCAUUUCACUUUAUGCCUUAUUAAGAAGAGCAGCAGUGAUUGCCCUCUGUGAAUAAGCACUUCAAGUAUUUAUUCUCUGUGGAUGUUUUUUCUCUGUGUAUGAAUUAAUUAAUUUUUAUCCUCUGGCACUGAAUCUCACUCUUAUUGAAUGAUUUUUAGGAGCUAGCCCUCAUAAAACCUGAAUUUUCAGAAUCCUCUCUUUGAAAUGAAUUCCUCAAUUCCUCAUAUUUAGCAAUUUCCUUUGUCUUCUCAUAAUUCUUCAUAUUUUUUAUGCCGCAGUGAUAUUGACCCAUCGUUAUUAGGUGGAAGGAGUCUUCUCAUAUCCCUCAUGAUCCUCUUUCAUAACUUCGGCGCGUUCGUUUAUAAUUGGAUAUGCUUGAAAAGUUUGCAUUUUUUCCAUAAAAUUCUUGACAGGAGUAGCUCAUAUGGUUCUAAUAAGUUUGAGUGUGACUAGGACUAGUCAAUUUUGACGAUCACCCAACAAGAUACCCACAUAUUACAGAAAGUAUUGAAGUCGGUAAAGGCAUCCCUCUUUUUUUCUGUGCUUCUAAAUCGUAAAGUAUCGGUGCCCAUAAAUUGCCAGGCAUUUUCAAAGAAUUAGGAAAAAUCAAGCAAAUAGGAACAUUUCAGAAGGCAUUUUGGAGUCUUUGGUAUCGGAAUAUCGGCGUCUUGGUCAGUGGACAUUAAACAGCCUGAUCACAUUUCAACGGUUAACCCGCCCUGUUUAGGCGUUCUACAAACUCAAAACAUUUGUACUCGUUUUUGAUCUGGCGAGUCUCUUUCAUGCCAUAAUUUCAUCCUUUCAGAUUUCCGUAAAAAGGGUUGUUACACAAUUUUAAAUCAUCAUAACACUUUACUGAAGGAAAAUAGAAUCAAGAUGAACCUAUUCGAAGUUGAACCAUGAGAUUACUGGCGUUUGAUUCCUUAUGCUAUUGGAUGCUUCAAGGAAAAGAAGUACUCUUUAUUUUUUGAAUAAUCUGAAUAACAGUACCCAUCUAAAAUGGCGUAAUCCCGCAAAUUUAUCAACGGAGUUGCUUAAAGUCCACUUUUUCAUCAUUAGGUAUUUACUUCCAGACUGCUUUUCUCUUAAAAACUGUCUCUGUCAAUGCAGUUUUCACGAGAAUUGAGGAUUUUCAAUCUCAUCAAUUUUUCUCUGAUCGAAUUCUUAUUAAGCAUGAUCGCAUUGCUGCAGAUCAAGUCCAAAGUUCCAAAAGAGGUUUUUAAGGUAAGCUCUUAAUGGAAGAGCAUUACGUCAGUAUGGGACGAGCACACCAAAGCAAGGCAAGCUCGAUUCUGUCUAAUUCUCCUGAAAUUUUUGCCACUUAGUGUGUCAAAAACAUGAUUUUUAACGUUGGCCCUAAAUCUGCAUGGAGAAUUAAACAGAAAACAGAUGUGAAGUCUUGUCUACUAUCCCACGGUUCCUUCUACUUAGACUCCAUUUCAAGAGGGUUUUUUCUGGUUAUUUAAGCUUUGGAGUUUAUUUCAGACAAAACAUUUGCAUUGCCAGGUUAUAUUCGUCAAAUGUUUUGUCAAAAUUGGUACCUCAAAUAAAAUUUACUUCUUUUUAGUCCAUGACGUUGAUAAGACUGUAAAACUGCUCAUCAGAAUUUUACACUUCAAAAUGUCCGUUCGUUCCUUUUUCCUUUUUUUUUUUAUUAAAGUCAAAUAAGACAAUCUUAUAAUUUCUAAUUUUCACCAAUUAUUUUCAGAGGGAAAUAAAUUGAAAGUAUUGUGAAAUAAUGAUGAAAAAAUCAAAGUCUAAUGUAAAAUUGAAUCAUGUGUAAUUGAAUCUUUGUAGUGGUCUCCUCUAAUUUUCACCGAAGUUUGCUUGUAUUUGCAGAAAUAUUAUCCACCGCCCUUUCAUGUUUCAUAAAACUCCUAAUGUUAAGUGUAAUUUUCUCCUAAGCUUUCUAGGGCUACUUUGACUCUAACUAUCCUCUUGCAGCCUUUGAACUGUUUGUGAAGAAGCGAUACCAUUUUUUUAAUCUUUCCUUCUUUAUUAAUUGAACAAUCCCAGGGGAAAACAAAAUGUCAGCGGCUUUUCCAAGGUAUUGAUUCAAUGUUGGAUAUAUUAACCUUUUAAAACAAUCAUUGCAUGAUUACUCUUCUUACUCCUGCAAAAGAAGUGUGCGUCAUUGAAAUGGGUUCUUUGUUGAUUUUCCAUUAUAGCACAGAUCUGGAGUGUUUCUGAAAAGUAAAAUGUGGAAACUAAAUGACAGCAAAGCUUGUGUAGUUACAAACUCUUAGGGUUAGUCGUGAUAAACAUUUUGAUUUUAUAUCAAGACAAUCCUUCGUCAGUUUUCAAUUUCUCACGAAGUUAAAAAGUAUGUUUUUAAAUGUACCUCUAACAUGUAGUCAAAUCUAAAUUUUUCCCAAUUCGUACAUUUGUCUCAACAGAUUUAUGCGGUUGUUCUAUGGCUGGUGAUAGGUUUUCGGAGAGGAAAUUUUCGGCUCAAAGGACAAAUAUUGACUUUUCAAAGCAACAAUCUUCAGAUUCCUGCUUCAUAUCCAAAAUUAUAGAUAAUGAAGGAAAGCAACCGAAGAAACAAAUAAUG